CCGCGUGAGUGAUGAAGGCCUUAGGGUUGUAAAGCUCUUUCGCAGGGGAAGAUAAUGACGGUACCCUGAGAAGAAGCCUCGGCUAACUCCGUGC
rnacentral:rRNA from 1 species